GACGAACGCUGGCGGCGUGCUUAACACAUGCAAGUCGAACGGAAAGGCCCUGCUUUUGUGGCGUGCUCGUGUGGCGCACGCGUGAGUAAAACGUGAGUAACCUGCCCUUGUCUUUGGGGUAACUUCAGGAGACUGGGGCUAAUACCGGAUAGGAGCUACUGCUGCAUGGUGGUGGUUGGUGAGUUUCGGCGGUUGGGGCUGGUCUAGCGGCUUAUGAGCUUCUUGGUGUGGUAGUGGUUUACCAGGGCUUUGAAGGCUAGCCGGCCUGAGAGGGUGACCGGCGACAUGAGGACUAAGAUACGGCGCAGACGCCAACGGGACGCAGCAGGGGGGAAUAUUGCACAAUGGGCGGAAGCCUGAGGCAGCAACGCUGCGUGCGGGAUGACGGCCUACGGGUUGUAAACCGCUUUGGACGGUGACGAAGAGGGAGUGACGGUAACUGGUAAAGAAGCACCGGCUAACUACGUG
rnacentral:rRNA from 1 species